AGACGGAGGGGGCGAGCGUUGUUCGGAAUUACUGGGCGUAAAGCGCGCGUAGGCGGCGGUCCAAGUCGAGGGUGAAAUCCCGGGGCUCAACCCCGGAACGGCCUUCGAAACUGGCCUGCUGGAGUCCGGGAGAGGAGAGUGGAAUUCCCAGUGUAGAGGUGAAAUUCGUAGAUAUUGGGAAGAACACCGGUGGCGAAGGCGGCUCUCUGGUCCGGUACUGACGCUGAGGCGCGAAAGCGUGGGGAGCAAACAGGAUUAGAUACCCCAGUAGUCC
rnacentral:rRNA from 1 species